rnacentral:rRNA from 1 species
GACGAACGCUGGCGGCGUGCUUAACACAUGCAAGUCGAACGGAAAGGCCCCCUUGUGGGGUACUCGAGUGGCGAACGGGUGAGUAACACGUGAGUAACCUACCCUUGACUUUGGGAUAACUUCAGGAAACUGGGGCUAAUACCGGAUAGGAGCUCCUGCUGCAUGGUGGGGGUUGGAAAGUUUCGGCGGUUGGGGAUGGGCUCGCGGCUUAUCAGCUUGUUGGUGGGGUAGUGGCUCACCAAGGCUUUGACGGGUAGCCGGCCUGAGAGGGUGACCGGCCACAUUGGGACUGAGAUACGGCCCAGACUCCUACGGGAGGCAGCAGUGGGGAACAUUGCACAAUGGGCGGAAGCCUGAUGCAGCAACGCCGCGUGCGGGAUGACGGCCUUCGGGUUGUAAACCGCUUUCGCCUGUGACGAAGCGUGAGUGACGGUAAUGGGUAAAGAAGCACCGGCUAACUACGUG